rnacentral:rRNA from 1 species
GAGGUGCUUGCACCUCUUGAGAGCGGCGGACGGGUGAGUAAUGCCUAGGAAUCUGCCUGGUAGUGGGGGAUAACGCUCGGAAACGGACGCUAAUACCGCAUACGUCCUACGGGAGAAAGCAGGGGACCUUCGGGCCUUGCGCUAUCAGAUGAGCCUAGGUCGGAUUAGCUAGUUGGUGAGGUAAUGGCUCACCAAGGCGACGAUCCGUAACUGGUCUGAGAGGAUGAUCAGUCACACUGGAACUGAGACACGGUCCAGACUCCUACGGGAGGCAGCAGUGGGGAAUAUUGGACAAUGGGCGAAAGCCUGAUCCAGCCAUGCCGCGUGUGUGAAGAAGGUCUUCGGAUUGUAAAGCACUUUAAGUUGGGAGGAAGGGCAUUAACCUAAUACGUUAGUGUUUUGACGUUACCGACAGAAUAAGCACCGGCUAACUCUGUGCCAGCAGCCGCGGUAAUACAGAGGGUGCAAGCGUUAAUCGGAAUUACUGGGCGUAAAGCGCGCGUAGGUGGUUCGUUAAGUUGGAUGUGAAAGCCCCGGGCUCAACCUGGGAACUGCAUUCAAAACUGUCGAGCUAGAGUAUGGUAGAGGGUGGUGGAAUUUCCUGUGUAGCGGUGAAAUGCGUAGAUAUAGGAAGGAACACCAGUGGCGAAGGCGACCACCUGGACUGAUACUGACACUGAGGUGCGAAAGCGUGGGGAGCAAACAGGAUUAGAUACCCUGGUAGUCCACGCCGUAAACGAUGUCAACUAGCCGUUGGGAGCCUUGAGCUCUUAGUGGCGCAGCUAACGCAUUAAGUUGACCGCCUGGGGAGUACG